rnacentral:rRNA from 1 species
GACGAACGCUGGCGGCGUGCUUAACACAUGCCAGUCGAACGGAAAGGCCCUUCGGGGUACUCGAGUGGCGAACGGGUGAGUAACACGUGGGUGAUCUGCCCUGCACUUUGGGAUAAGCCUGGGAAACUGGGUCUAAUACCGAAUAGGACCACGCGCUUCAUGGUGUGUGGUGGAAAGCUUGUGCGGUGUGGGAUGGGCCCGCGGCCUAUCAGCUUGUUGGUGGGGUAAUGGCCUACCAAGGCGACGACGGGUAGCCGGCCUGAGAGGGUGACCGGCCACACUGGGACUGAGAUACGGCCCAGACUCCUACGGGAGGCAGCAGUGGGGAAUAUUGCACAAUGGGCGCAAGCCUGAUGCAGCGACGCCGCGUGAGGGAUGACGGCCUUCGGGUUGUAAACCUCUUUCAAUAGGGACGAAGCGCAAGUGACGGUACCUAUAGAAGAAGCACCGGCCAACUACGUG